rnacentral:lncRNA from 1 species
GUCUUCAACUGACCAAUAUUUGAAGAACAAUGUGCUUAUUCUGCUCCAUUUGGAGGAGGCCAAUCUCUUGAGAAGCAAAUCAUACAUACAUAAAACCAUGAAUUUUAGAGGCAAAUUUAAUAACAGGAACUACCUCUGUCUUGUUCACCAGUAUGUGUAUGGGAAAACACACCCUACACUGAACAGGAGAUAUAUCUUAUUUUCUUUUGAAUAUUGCUUAUGGUACUGUAGGAAAGCAGAGGAAUUGAGAAAUAGAAAUUAGUUCAAAGUAAAGGGGAAAAAAAUCACUAUCCAAGUUGGAGUUCAGCAAAAAGUUACUUAUGACAAUUAACUAAAAAUCCAUAUUUUGCCAAUAACCAACAGGCAAAUAAAAAACCAACAUUCAAUGUUCAAUUCAAAAUAGCCAGUGAGGGAGAGGCACCAAUUAGAAGCAGCUGCAGUCCAUGGCACUCAUGGAGAGGAGUGAAAGGGGUGAGUGAAUACAGUUCUCCCACAGAUCUUUGCAACCCACGGAUCAGGAGAUCCCCUCGUGAGCCCAUGCUACCAGGGCCUUGAGUCUGACACACAGAGCUGUGUGGAGUCUUGGCCCCUGUCCAGCCUGGCCCUGCCUUCCCUGGUCUGGAGCACAUCCAAUUCUCUCUCUCCCCAGGACUUUGAUCACUUCAUUUUGCCCAAAUUCUCCUCUGAUCCCUAUGGUUGUUCUUUAUUCCCCAAGGGGUAUUUCUAGCCCAGUACCCCCGCUGAGCUCCAGACUCACACUACACAACGAAUUGGCCCUUAACUGGGCACUCUGCGAGCCUCUCCAUCUCACCCUGUCUAAAAUCUCCUCACUAACCUGGUGAUCUCUCUGGCCUUCGCUGUUCAUGGCCACCACCUCACCUGAAGCAAGGCUGGUGAUCAUCCACUCCUCCCUCCCCUUCUUCAGGCUAACCUCAGGUCUUCUCUGCUCUGCACUUCCCACAAAAAGCACAGUGACAUUUCAAUAGGACUAUAUUUGAAAUAGUUUAUGAAUGAAAAGAAAGAACUAUUAAAGGGAAAAUGAUGCAGCACCACAGAUGUGAGUAGAUCGUCCAGCUGCUUUUCCUACAGAAUAAAUACUAGAUUCUCUCGGGAACGCUCACAGUGCUCUGUCACCUGGAUGCAGUCCCAUCUCCUCUCCCUUGCCCCAGCCUUGCCCAGCCCACACUGCACUGUAUAUCCAGUCCACCAAACUUCUCUUCCUUCUCGGAGGGUAUGGGUAUUCUCGCUUCUAUGCUGGCUCGUGGUUUUGUUAGUUUCAUUGCUGCCUUAGUCAUGUGGGGGAAUUCCUGACCAAUUCAUCCUUCUUUUUAAUCCCUCAAUCCUGAAUUAGGUAACUUUUCCUCUAUCACUUUCAACAUUACAUUAUCAGCUGCAAUAGAAGACCCUACACUUCUGACUUGUGGACUCCUGAGAGCAAGGUCUGUGAUUAUUCCACAUGUGUAUGGACAACACCUCUGCAGAGGGCCUGGCAGCUGCUAGAUGCUCAAUAAACCUCUGCCGAAGGCAGCUGCUAAAAGAAAAAAGAAAAUCUUACUACGGAAAGUAAAAGAUGAUCCUCAGGCAAGAAACAAAAAAGUGCGACGGAAGCUCUGUUUCUAUCUCUUCAGGGCCGUGCUUCAUUAUUAUUUCCUCAUUCUCCAAUUCCUCACAAAGCUCUAUUUUAUAAAUGUUUGCAGAGCUUUAAGUUAAUCCUAACAUUUACUCUCCAGCCCUCAAUCUUUAAUGACUCCUUCUCUAAAAAAAAAAAAGGCAGAAAAAGUAAAGAUUUAUAUAAGUUCAAAAGAAACUUAAAAAUCCAGACAAAGACUUAUCAUCAGCCACGUAUGGAAUGUGAGUGGAUUCUUGCCUAAAAAGCUAGCUCUAGCUGCAAAUUUCCUAUAUUCUCCCAGUGCCACGGGACGGUGAUGAGAGGUCUCCCACUCCAUGGGGCUCUGCCCACCUCUGCUCACCCACUCCACACCUCCCACCACACUUUUCUAGUGCUUGAAGGAAGUGAAGACAGUAGCCUUUAACAUGUUCCAUUACAGCAACUGCUUUGGUGUAGUGACUUACAAGGAAGCCUGCAAAGGAG